GCGCGGCCUCCGCCGAGUCCGGCCUGCCCGCACGGCACCGGAGCCGGGGACCCAACCGAGAACUUUGGGGUGAAUCGGCCUCACCGCCCUCGACGCGAGGACGGUCCGCCGUAGGGCAAACCUUCCGCGCCACACCGCCCGAACCCGACAGCUAACCCGGUAGGCGGAGCACUGGAAGGAGUC
rfam:Streptomyces coelicolor A3(2) complete genome